rnacentral:rRNA from 1 species
AAGCGGAGGAAAAGAAACCAACAGGGAUUGCCCCAGUAACGGCGAGUGAAGCGGCAACAGCUCAAAUUUGAAAUCUGGCCCUCGGGUCCGAGUUGUAAUUUGUAGAGGAUGCUUUUGGCGAGGUGCCUUCCGAGUUCCCUGGAACGGGACGCCAUAGAGGGUGAGAGCCCCGUCUGGUCGGACACCGAGCCUCUGUAAAGCUCCUUCGACGAGUCGAGUAGUUUGGGAAUGCUGCUCAAAAUGGGAGGUAUAUGUCUUCUAAAGCUAAAUAUUGGCCAGAGACCGAUAGCGCACAAGUAGAGUGAUCGAAAGAUGAAAAGCACUUUGAAAAGAGGGUUAAAAAGUACGUGAAAUUGUUGAAAGGGAAGCGCCUAUGACCAGACUUGAGCCCGGUGAAUCAUCCAGCGUUCUCGCUGGUGCACUUUGCCGGGCCCAGGCCAGCAUCAGUUUGGCGCGGGGGAUAAAGGUGACGGGAAUGUGGCUCCCUCGGGAGUGUUAUAGCCCGCUACGUAAUACCCUGCGCCGGACUGAGGUACGCGCAUUGCAAGGAUGCUGGCGUAAUGGUCAUCAGCGACCCGUCUUGAAACACGGACCAAGGAGUCGUCUUCGUAUGCGAGUGUUCGGGUGUCAAACCCCUACGCGUAAUGAAAGUGAACGCAGGUGAGAGCUUCGGCGCAUCAUCGACCGAUCCUGAUGUUCUCGGAUGGAUUUGAGUAAGAGCAUACGGGGCCGGACCCGAAAGAAGGUGAACUAUGCCUGUAUAGGGUGAAGCCAGAGGAAACUCUGGUGGAGGCUCGCAGCGGUUCUGACGUGCGAAUCGAUCGUCAAAUAUGGGCAUGGGGGCGAAAGACUAAUCGAACCUU